ensembl:lncRNA
AUGCAUUUUGCUUUCCCUGCAGCAUCCAUUCUUCUCUCCUUUGAGAACAUAACCCCUGGCAACGUUCUGACUCUCGGGUUUGGUUCUGAGCCGCAGCUCCCACCCUGUGGCAAACCAAAGGCACCUCGUGUGCGCGUGCAUGCACACCUGCCUCCAGCAGCACAGGGGCACAGCUCUGGGGUGCUUCUUCCUCAUCCCCCAGUGGCCCUUCAUCAGGAGCAUUUCAAUGCCAACUCUGUUCUCCUUCAGCCAGAACUCCAUCCUGACCAUCUCCCUCACCAGCUAGGCCGGAUGCCUGCUGCCACCGGGCACACCGCCGCUUGGAGGGCUGUCUGUCCCAUGCAGCACCCACUGCUCCAGAGUCCCUGCAUACGGCUGUGGAACGACGACCUUGGGUGGAGGAAGAUAAACUAUGUUUUUCACCUGGGUUUCUUCUUGAUUUGUCUCUCCAGAAACUUCUUUCCCUGGAGAAAUAAAGGCCUGUGGAAAUGACAGUAUAUACCUGGUAAAUCUGCAAUACCUGGUGCAUUAAUCAAUUGUUCCAAACUCCUGCUUAACCAAGCUCUCAGCCGACCUCACCUUACCAAUAGCUAUUGCUGCCUAUGGCACACAAGCUGGGAGACAGUAAGAUGCUCUUCAUUACAUAAAGCUGGGAAUAUUUCCCAGUUCCCUUAGGACAGCAAAGGUCUGAAACUUGAUGUUAUGCUGAACAAAACAUAUAAACGAUGCUCCCAGCCUUUUGCUGUCUCCUGAUGCGCACCUGCAGACACAGUCGCAGCCAGGGAUGUAAACUCCAGGUUACAGUUUGUGACAGGGAACUGCGUGCAAUGGAAGUGUAUGAAAGGUUCAUGGUCCAACCUGAACGCAGAAACACUCAGCCCAUCUCAAAUGUUGUCAGCUGCUUGAAAUUCAGGACAGGUUUGUCAAAAGGCGCUUCAAAGCUUUCCAAGUGACCUUUUUUUGAGCAAAUGCAGGUUCAUUUACAGUUUCCCAUCAGAGUUGUGUGGAUGUGUGGUAAGACACGAAACCAACUGAGAAAAGCACCAUUCAUUGGCUUUCCUGUGGCAUUUGCUGAAUGUUUUGAAAGCCACGGAUCAAAGCAGAAUGCUUGAUGCACGUCCUUAAAUUAGAUGUAAUUAAAUAGACAAGUGUUUGCAUAAAUCCCUGAAAAGCAAAACGGUCCAAUUUAACCACACACUGGUGCAGCAGCUCUUCUCGCUUUAACGUUUUCAAAGUUUUCAUUAACAAAAAACACACUGAAUGACAACGUUGUUCCAUCUGAUCACAAAGCUGCCCUGUAGAGUCACCUUGAACAAAAAGCACCUGCGGGGUGUUCCACCUGAAAAGCAACGUUAGGCUGUUAGAAACCAAUGAGCCCCAGAACGCAGCCGCAGGAGCCAGGGAAGCGCAGGUCUCAGGUGGCUCCGAGGCAGGAGCCUCGCUCCUCCUCCUCGCAGCUGGAGCUGAGGGGUGGGGAUGGCAGCGGGUACCACCAUCACUGGUAGCCGCCUCAGCUGCCGGUGGGCUCCGUCCAACUUAACGAACGCGACCAGUGACUCCUGCCGCCUGCAGUGGCACCGCACGGCAAUCUCAGGAGCGCGUAACUAAGGACGGGAUUUCCCUCUCCAGCCGAGUCUGGAACCGCCGCCACUUGGGGCCUCAGGCUUUUCCCCCACGUGUGUGCGGCGAUACGGGCGGAGAGGCCGCCCCGCUCAGGGGACACGGCCGCACGUAGCGGCCGAACGGAGCGUUGCGUACCCGCAGGCGGCCGCCGUCGGGGCUCCGCCGAUCGCAGGGCCGCACCGCGUCGAGCCCCUUCUCUCGUCCCCGCGCCGCGCCGGCAGCCCGCGUCCCCCACCAACGCCGAGCCCGGCGCAGCGCUCGCGGGCAACAACAGCCCCUUUUCUGCGGUGGGGUCCAACGAGGCCGUCGGUGCUAAAACACAAAAGCGAACAAACGGCGCGCACCUCCCCGGCCCCGACUUACCAAGCCGUGCGCGUCCCAUCCGCCGCCCUGACGCCGUCCGCCAGCGGACGGCAGCCGGCCGCCCGUGUGCCCGGAGCCGUGCCCGUCCCGCGGGGCCGCGCCGCCAGAGGACAGGCAGUGCCCGCGGCCCGCCCUCCCCAGCCCUCCGCUGCGCGGGGCUCUCCUGCGCGCCUCCAUCUCCAUCCUCGAAGGCAACCGAAAAAGAAGAAAAAAAACUUCCCCGUAGCCCACCCCAAACAGGUGUUAGGAACGGGUCUCGCCUGUAAGGAAUCCCUGCGAUGGGGACUCGCGGUCACGCCGCUGGAGCGCGGACAGAGCUCCGCUUUUCGCAGUACCCGCGGCGGGGUAACGCCAGUUGGCUGCUCCGGCGCUGCGCUCCUAAAUCAUGAUGGACAGAUUGCGUGAAAAGCAGGAAUUCCAGAGAAUUUCCUGCCCUGGGAACGGCAGCGAGGGCUAUAUUUAACAGCAUCUGAAGCUGUCAAGAAUGCUUUGCGGUUGGAUAACAGAGCAGAAAAAUGUGAAAAAUGCGGGCUACUGCUAUACCAAAUAUGGAAAUAUUGUUACGUCUGGUGGCUGAAUCCCCAUCUGGAAGCACUUACGGCCACGCAGAGAAAGGGCGCCACAACAGAAGCCCAAUCGCUCCUUCCCGGCCCCAGCCCCGAACCUCCACCGGGGAACCGCUACCGGGAGCGCGUCAGCCCAAGGGGCACGGGGGCACCGCAGCCAGCGGCCGUAUCCGCGGGGCCCGUCCCGCUCGGCGCCCGCAGCUCCGGCCCCGGGGCCCGACCCAGAGGCGCCCCCGCGCAGCGCUCGCCCCCACCGACGCCCGCGUAACGGGACCGCGUCCGCGGUGGUGCGGGUGGGGCCGGCGGGACGCGGAGAGGCCCCCCGAGCAGCCCCCAGCCCCGCAAAGCGGCACGGUGCCCGGGCCGGGCGGGCGCGGGGACCCCCCGCGGCAGAGCCGCCGCCAGCGGCCGCGGUGCCGGGAGACGGGGCGGGGCGGAGC